rnacentral:rRNA from 1 species
GUGCCAGCCGCCGCGGUAAUACAGAGGGUGCGAGCGUUGUCCGGAAUCACUGGGCGUAAAGGGCGCGUAGGUGGUGGCUUAAGCGUGCGGUGAAAGCUCGGAGCUCAACUCCGAGUCGGCCGUGCGAACUGGGCUCACUGGAGCAUAGUAGAGGCAGGUGGAAUUCCGGGUGUAGCGGUGGAAUGCGUAGAGAUCCGGAAGAACACCGGUGGCGAAGGCGGCCUGCUGGGCUAUGGCUGACACUGAGGCGCGACAGCGUGGGGAGCAAACAGGAUUAGAAACCCCUGUAGUCC